GAUGAACGCUGGCGGCGUGCCUAAUACAUGCAAGUCGAGCGAACAGACGAAGAGCUUGCUCCUUUUACGUUAGCGGCGGACGGGUGAGUAACACGUGGGUAACCUACCUAGUAGACUGGGAUAACUUCGGGAAACCGGAGCUAAUACCGGAUAAUAUUUGGAGACGCAUGGUUCUUUAGUGAAAGAUGGCAUUGCUAUCACUUAUAGAUGAACCUCCGUCGUAUUAGCUAGUAGGUAAGGUAACGGCUUACCAAGGCAACGAUACGUAGCCGACCUGAGAGGGUGAUCGGCCACACUGGAACUGAGACACGGCCCAGACUCCUACGGGAGGCAGCAGUAGGGAAUCUUCGGCAAUGGGCGCAAGCCUGACGGAGCAACGCCGCGUGAGUGAAGAAGGUCUUCGGAUCGUAAAACUCUGUUAUUAGGGAAGAACAAAUGUGUAAGUAAAUGUGCCCGUCUUGACGGUAACUAAACAAAAAGCCGCGGCUAACUUCGUG
rnacentral:rRNA from 1 species